rnacentral:rRNA from 1 species
CAGCCGCCGCGGUAAUACAGAGGGUGCAAGCGUUAAUCGGAAUUACUGGGCGUAAAGCGUGCGUAGGUGGUGGUUUAAGUCCGUUGUGAAAGCCCUGGGCUCAACCUGGGAAUUGCAGUGGAUACUGGGUCACUAGAGUGUGGUAGAGGAUAGUGGAAUUUCCGGUGUAGCAGUGAAAUGCGUAGAGAUCGGAAGGAACAUCUGUGGCGAAGGCGACUAUCUGGGCCAACACUGACACUGAGGCACGAAAGCGUGGGGAGCAAACAGGAUUAGAUACCCCUGUAGUCCCUGUCUCUUAUAA